AGGAAUAUUGGUCAAUGGGCGGGAGCCUGAACCAGCCAAGUCGCGUGAGGGAAGACGGUCCUACGGAUUGUAAACCUCUUUUGCCGGGGAGCAACGGGGUCCUUGCGAGGGCCCAAUGAGAGUACCCGGAGAAAAAGCAUCGGCUAACUCCGUGCCAGCAGCCGCGGUAAUACGGAGGAUGCGAGCGUUAUCCGGAUUUAUUGGGUUUAAAGGGUGCGUAGGCGGUCCGGAAAGUCAGCGGUAAAAGCCCGGGGCUCAACCCCGGCGAGCCGUUGAAACUGUCGGACUAGAGACGGCGAGAAGUACGCGGAAUGCGCGGUGUAGCGGUGAAAUGCAUAGAUAUCGCGCAGAACUCCGAUUGCGAAGGCAGCGUACCGGCGCCGGCCUGACGCUGAGGCACGAAAGCGUGUGUAUCGAACAG
rnacentral:rRNA from 1 species